rnacentral:rRNA from 1 species
UGGGGAAUAUUGGACAAUGGGGGCAACCCUGAUCCAGCCAUGCCGCGUGAGUGAUGAAGGCCUUAGGGUUGUAAAGCUCUUUCGCCGGUGACGAUGAUGACGGUAACCGGAGAAGAAGCCCCGGCUAACUUCGUGCCAGCAGCCGCGGUAAUACGAAGGGGGCUAGCGUUGUUCGGAAUGACUGGGCGUAAAGCGCACGUAGGCGGCAAGGUUAGUCAGAGGUGAAAUCCCGGGGCUCAACCCCGGAACUGCCUUUGAUACUGGCUAGCUAGAGUCCGGAAGAGGGUGGCGGAAUACCCAGUGUAGAGGUGAAAUUCGUAGAUAUUGGGUAGAACACCAGUGGCGAAGGCGGCCACCUGGUCCGGUACUGACGCUGAGGUGCGAAAGCGUGGGGAGCAAACA